CAUGUGAUGAUCUUAGGGAGAUAGUUAACAUUUGGCAGUGUUUUCAAUAUGGAUCAUCCAAUGGUUGCUCUAUUUUGAUGGAUGUGUAAUUGGCAAAUUGAGAGGUGAAGCCUAGUAGACAUGGUUGUACUGAAAGACAUAGGUCAUUCUCUUAAGUACGUCACUACUACUCUUGCUUAUUCAGACCUAAAUAUGUUCAAUGACAUGAAGGACUCCCUGCAAUAGUUGAAAAUUUUCAUAAAAGAAUAUUGAGGUUGAGCAUCUAGAAUGUGACUUGUAACCAUCCUUAUACAUUUUGAAGAAAGAUGAUGUAGAACUAGAUGCAGCAAAAGACUAUGAACAACUCAAAGUUGAAAAAGAAGUUGUAAAUUUUUUAGUUUUUUGAACAAUUUCAACUAAAUUUAAUGC